UACGGAGGAUGCAAGCGUUAUCCGGAAUGAUUGGGCGUAAAGCGUCCGCAGGUGGCUGUGUAAGUCUGCUGUUAAAGAGUGAGGCUCAACCUCAUAAGAGCAGUGGAAACUACACGGCUAGAGUGCGUUCGGGGCAGAGGGAAUUCCUGGUGUAGCGGUGAAAUGCGUAGAGAUCAGGAAGAACACCGGUGGCGAAAGCGCUCUGCUAGGCCGCAACUGACACUGAGGGACGAAAGCUAGGGGAGCGAAUGGGAUUAGAUACCCCAGUAGUCCUAGCCGUAAACGAUGGAUACUAGGCGUGGCUUGUAUCGACCCGAGCCGUGCCGUAGCUAACGCGUUAAGUAUCCCGCCUGGGGAGU
rnacentral:rRNA from 1 species